CCAGGCGGUUCUGGAAGACAGCGAUGCUCCGGCGCGGGGCCUCCUCUGUAAAGUGCUCGUCCGGUGGACAUGUUGCAAGGGCUUUACAUGGACCAUCACAACAGGACAAUCCAGUAAGACAGGCAGGUGCCUGGUCCCAGUGAGGGAGCCACCAUGUCGCUGGUGAUCGGCAGCUUGCUGGGCAAGCUGGAGAGGCAGUGGAGCAUGACUGGGUUGACGCCAUUCAGGGCUUGUUAAGCUGUGCCUCUCCUAGAGAACCAUCUCCUACAUCUCCACCUCAUAUCAAGCCUACAUGUUCUUCUGUGUGCAUCUUAGAUGCAAAGUCCUUCAUGAAGCAUUGUCUGAUCACCCCCCCAAACACACACCUUGGUGUAUCUUUCAAAAAAUACCCACUACUUCUUUCGUUAUAUUGUGAACCCUUCAUUAUGUCACUACUCAAAUAAACUCCUCUUAUACUGUGGGCUCCUUAUGGCCAGGACUGGGCUGUGUUGCCCUGACAUACCCAGUUUGUAAUAAUCACUCACUAGCUAGGCCAAGUCAAAUGGAAGGGAAUGGAACGGAGGACAGGCAGGUUUGUGGCAGUCGGUCAGUAAAGUAAGCUGUGGAAGGAGGCGGAUGUGUCAUAAAGAGUGUGGGCACCUGGAGAAGGCAUGGGGGCAAGGGGGCAAUAGUGACCUGACAAGCCCAGGGACAGGUUCCUACGUGCUCAGUAAGGAGCCACUCACUCCUUCCGCGAGCGUGUGCUGAGUGGCUGCCUGCUAAGAACCUAGGGGAUGGGGAAAACUCAACAGGAGUAUGGUCAUUAAAGCAGAGGCUGAGGAGGCAAGAGAGGACAAAGAAAAGGACUUCCUUUUCCAAGGCCUGCCACUCUCAUCCUUUAGGGCACCCUGCAGUCACGCCACACUAAAGCCCAGUGACUCCCUCUCCUCCAUAAAUGACCAGAGGCUG